rnacentral:rRNA from 1 species
GAUGAACGCUGGCGGCGUGCUUAACACAUGCAAGUCGAACGAUGAAGCCCAGCUUGCUGGGUGGAUUAGUGGCGAACGGGUAAGUAACCCGUGAGUAAACUGCCCUUGACGCUGGGAUACGCCCGGGAAACUGGGGCUAAUGCCGGAUAGGAGCGCCUGUCCCAUGACGGGUGCUGGCAAGAUUUUUCGGUCAUGGAUGGACUCGCGGCCUAUCAGCUUGUUGGUGUGGUAAUGGAUCACCAAGGCGACGACGGGUAGCCGGCCUGGGAGGGUGACCGGCCACACUGGGACGAAGACACGGCCCAGCCUCCUACGGGCGGCAGGAGGGGGGAAGAUUGCACAAUGGGCGGAAGCCUGAUGCAGCGACGCCGGGUGAGGGAUGACGGCCUUCGGGUUGUAAGCCACUUUCAGUAGGGAAGAAGCGGAAGUGACGGUACCUGCAGAAGAAGCACGGGCUAACUACGU